GAUCCUGGCUCAGGAUGAACGCUGGCGGCGUGCUUAACACAUGCAAGUCGAACGAAGCACCUUGAUUUGAUUCUUCGGAUGAAGAUCCUGGUGACUGAGUGGCGGACGGGUGAGUAACGCGUGGGUAACCUGCCUCAUACAGGGGGAUAACAGUUAGAAAUGACUGCUAAUACCGCAUAAGACCACAGCACCGCAUGGUGCAGGGGUAAAAACUCCGGUGGCAUGAGAUGGACCCG
rnacentral:rRNA from 1 species